AUGACCUCUAGAUGGCAGGAACUCCCUCUUUUUUUCUCCUUUUCUUUUCUUUUCUUUUCUUUUCUUUUCUUUUCUUUUCUUUUCUUUUCUUUUCUUUUCUUUUCUUUUCUUUUCUUUUCUUUUCUUUUCUUUUCUUUUCUUUUCUNNNNNNNNNNNNNNNNNNNNNNNNNUUUUCUUCUUUUUUUUAAAUUUCUUUUUUUUUUUUUUUUUAGCCUUAUGGAGGUUUCAGGGCUGAUGCAGGAUCACCUAAACUUUAAGCCACGUAACCAACCCGAGGGAUUGCUUAGCUGUUCCCUGCUGUCCCUGGAGCAAGACGGGUGAUUCUUUGUCGGAAGACCACUGCUGCUGCCUCACCCCUAUAUCCUUGCACCUCCUUCUGCUGAAAUUUAUGGCUCUUCACCCUGACUUCUGAAGCUGGGGACCUCGCAGGCUGGGGACUGAUGGGCUGGUCUGCAGACGAGUAGUUCUCCUGUUAUUGCCAGCAGAGGAUUGCUGACUGGGCCACAUGGCGUGCAACAGGCUUUUACAUAACUUCCUUCCCAUGAUAUCAAGACUAAAAUACACCUUGUCCUUCCUCUCUCUGGGCUCUGGGUAACAGGCUGGAGUUUUCUUCACCUGUUUCUCCCUCUUUCUAUUUUUAAUUGCCUUUCCCCACCGCUGUUCCCAGCAAGGGUCUCUGGACCUUGGUAAAAAUAAUGCUUCUAACUUUGAUGUAAAGCUUCAAGGUUUGUGGCCGCCUCAUACCCUCCAGGGGCAUGUCCUAUAUUAAUAGCUAGCUACCAACCCCCUGCCUCCCUUCUGUGGGGGAGAUGGGGAGAUCUGAGGCAUCUGAGGCAGCAAUUUCAUUCUGUAAAUCAGAGCACAUGAAUGUAGGAAGCCGAGGACCAAAAUCUUGAAUAGCUCAGCAUUGACCAAAGAACCUGAGGUAACCCUUGGUAUUAGUGAGAAGUCUAUGUUAAAGCGUGGAGUGGCUAAAACAUAUCAAUUAGUAGAUGAAUUGGAUUGCUGUGAUGGAUUGCUGUGUCCACCCUGGGACGGAUUGCUGCAGGCUGCAUGAAGGUGUCCUCUGCUCACUGAGGAGACAGGAAAGUGCUGGACCCCAAGGAAAGCUGACUCCGUUUCACCUCACCUCCCUUUAGGUCCCUGUGGGUCUGAUGAGAUCUUAUAUCUGAUUAGGUCUUUAAGCUCCUACCAUUGCCUAUAAAGACCCAGUAAAUGAUCCCAGCCAGUGAUUCACCUCACCCUAAAUAAGAAGCCUACAUUUGGUCCGAUGACUCACUUCACUGGCUGUGCUGACUGGGUUUCUGUUGUCGUUAUCAGGAGGCCAAACACCUACCUUGGACGUAGGCGUCUGUGUCGUAGACAGGAGCUGUUUGACUCAGCUGCCCACACGCAGGCACCAAGUGCCAUCUGAGGUGUCCUGCAGCACCUGAGACAUCCGUAUCCCCUGGCAGGUGUGAUAUGGGAGAGCUCUGCCUUCAGGGCUUGCACCUGGAGGCCAGGUGGCACAGCCGUGGGCAUCUCUCACGGUACAAGCUGCUCAGCGAUGGAGACCUGAGCUGAAAAUGAGGUUUCCAGCAGGGAGUCCCCCACAUGUUGACUGAACAAACCUUCUAGGACACUUAAAUGGGAGGUGUAGCUUUAAUUCCCCAUUGUGCCACUGUGUACAAAGACCAGAGACAUAAAAAGUGGGUUUAGCUGGGGCAUGCUCAGCCUGAUAUUGAUUCUUCCUCCACCUUUCACGUAGCUCUUCAGUGGAGCAGGAAGGACUUGGCUGAUGAAUGACGUGACCACCAGGCAUGCCUUCUCCUCUCCAUUGAUUGCUGCCUUUUUCUGGCUGAAACGGUGAUCAAGUUAAGGUCAAGGGCAGGGAAAAGGUGACAAAAUAAGGAGAUUUUGAAAAGCCAAGCCAGGCACAUUUUGCAGUGUGGUGAUACAGGUUUGGCACUCCCACUGCAAUCAUUUCUGUUGUGGGAAGCAGGGAUUUGGGCAAAACCGAAUGGCAUCCACGGAUGUCUGAUGAACCAAAGCUGCUUGGACUGAAGGAUGUGAACACUUGCUGUAGAGAUGUCUGUGGGUAAGGAGAAUUCCACUGAUGUGCAAGCUGUAUGGCAAAGAGGAGAAGGAGCCUGGGUGAGGUUAGGUUUCACCUGGUCACGUCUAAGUCUUUGACAUGCUAAUAAAAUCCCAAACCCAUUAAGAAAUAGAAAUAUG
ensembl:lncRNA